rnacentral:lncRNA from 1 species
UCAAACAGCUCCUUUUAACUCAAUUCAAAAGAAAGCAUUCAGAGUGGAUUCUGAAUUUGCACCGUGAUAAAACUAAUUGCAGUUACCUGCCCGUCACUGAAACAGAUCAUCCCGAGUGCCACAAUAUUUGAAACACUGUUCUAAGGCACAAACACACCCAAUCAGAAAGAAAAGCUUUAAAGGCCAAAGUGAUCAUCUUCUAAGCGUUCUUAAUUUCCCUUCAGGUAAAUGGAAAUGGGUGUUCUGGAGGACAGAGAGAGCAGCACACGGUCCACCUGCAAUUGUCUGCGUGAUUAAUAGAGCAUCCAUAGACCUCCCAGCCUGUGCAGUGAGUGUUCUAUGAAGGUGUAAAAGUUGCAUGCAGCAGAAAUGGGAAACUUGCAGUAACUGGCUCAGGACAGCAAAGUUGACGUGGUGCCAGGAUCACUCACAUUCCACAGCUGUCAAGGACUCUCUUGGCAAGGCCCCUCCACCAGCAUCAUCCCAGCUCCCCACCACCUGGUGCUCAUCCCCACCUGCAGCUGGAGCCAUGGGUUCCAAAUUCUGGGAGCAGGGGAAGGCAGCAGAGUGGGUGUGAAGGCUGCUCCUAGGUGCUGGCAACCUGCAUGUAGGCAGUGGGUACGCCAUGGUAAGCAACCCAGCAGGGCCAGAUGGUGUGGGAGCAGGAUUUUACGGGCUCAUAGCUCCAACCCUCAGGCUCAGUGGGUUUGUCAGAAAUGGUUAAUCAAAUUCUGAAUAACCCUCCCAGAAAAUCAACCAGCUUUUCCCCCAUGGGACUGCUGGAGCCCAUAUGAAAAAUGAAAAAGGUUUGGAAACUAGGUUUACAUUUUUACUGCUGGAAUUUGUACCAACUUGGUGUUUUCUUUCUUUGAGAACAUGAUGUGAGACCUUUGUGCUGUGAUGGCAAAGGGCACGGAGGAAGGGAGCACAAGAAGAUACUGGUUAAUUUGCUGCCUGUCUGCUCUGACUUCAAUACUGCAGUCGGACUGGACAUGGUGUUGUGAAGGACACAGCCCUG